AGAAAUAAAGAUAGAGACAGAUAUAGAAACAGGAGAAACAGAAACAGAAGAGGCUGGAUAGAAACAGAACAGAAGCAGAAGCCGCGGCGAAUAUGCAAAUCGGCUCGGGGUGUGGGCGGAGAGGCGAGUGGGCGGGGAGAAUGCAAAUGUGGAUGCGGAUCGUGCCAAUCAGAUCACGGACAGGAAACAAAGGGCGGGGUGACGAGGAGAGGGGGCGGGGAAUGCAAAUUAGAGGCGGAGAUGCACCAAUCGAGCGCCCGAGAGGCCGAAGGGGCCGUUGGGAGGCUCCGUCGCGGGGGUCUCCGGGCGCGGCGAGGGUCGGUGUCCGCGGAUUCCGGUGGAACCGCGGGGAGAGCGAGGGGAACAGAGCGAGAAAGGAGUUCGGGGGUUGUUGCGGGCGCGGGGGAGUGACCGUGAGGUGUGAGGGUCUGGCAGUGGAUGGGGCGGUGCGGCGGAGGGUAGAGGGUAUCGCUUCUCGGCCUUUUGGCUAAGAUCAAGUGUAGUAUCUGUUCUUAUCAGUUUAAUAUCUGAUACGUCCUCGAUGAGAGGACUUUAUAUUAAACGGAUUUUUGGAUCUGGGAGUUGGAUCCGGAGCUUGCUCCCUCCGCUCCGCGCAUCGUCCCGGUAUUGCAGUGCCUCCGGGAGCGGUGCGCCCCCGCGGGGGACCAUUGCUGGUCAAAGACAGAGCUGGUGCGGUGCUGGGAACGCGGCUGCCCGCAGCUACAAACCACACUGAACACUUGCAAGAUAAGGUCUUGUUUGCACUUUGCUGGGAAGAACGGAACUGUCGGGAAAAACAACGCUCCAAGGCUAACACGGGGGAGACGUUACAGACAUCUGCAAAAUGGGGCCGAUGUCACACUUUGCCGAGAAGAAAGGAUUUAUUCAGACAAAACAGUACCUGCAAGGCUAUGGACCACAAACAGUGUCUGCACCUGAAAAACAAAGGCCCACGUGGAAUCGGAGAAAAAAAUCCAAGGAGAAUCAAGAAGACCUCACAGUGGAGUAUUGCUGUUGGACUGAACGAUGGUAUGAACGUUUGUAAAGAUGCAGAGGUCUAUGGUUUACUGUGCUCGGGUUGGACCUCUGUGGAGGUACCAGCUUGUGCCAGCCCCGCUGCUCUUCUACUCCGUCUUUUUUCCCCGAGAAUUUUGCCGCCCGCCGCCUGCCCGGGGCGCGGGUGCCGCCAGCCCGGGGCGCGGGUGCCGCCUGCCCGGGGCGCGGGUGCCGGGCUCGCAGCCGUGUCCCUGCGCCGGCGCUCGGCAGCUGCUGCAGGGCAGUUGCAGCUUUGCUUUUGUUUCAUGCAGUAGUUGACGCCUUUGGACGGAACUGUGACACGGAUGUUUAGCAAGGGCGCAGGCUGAUUUUUAUUAUAUUACUGCAAAUCUUUAAUAA